AUGCUUGUUUUGGCAGCACAUAUACUAAAAUUGGAAUGAUACAGAGAAGAUUAGCAUGGCCCCUAUGCAGGGAUGACACACAAAUUCUUAAAGCGUUCCAUAUUUUU
rnacentral:snRNA from 1 species